ACGAACGCUGGCGGCGUGCUUAACACAUGCCAGUCGAACGGAAAGGCCCUGCUUUUGUGGGGUGCUCGAGUGGCGAACGGGUGAGUAACACGUGAGUAACCUGCCCUUGACUUUGGGAUAACUUCAGGAAACUGGGGCUAAUACCGGAUAGGAGCUCCUGCUGCAUGGUGGGGGUUGGAAAGUUUCGGCGGUUGGGGAUGGACGCGCGGCUUAUCAGCUUGUUGGUGGGGUAGUGGCAUACCAAGGCUUUGACGGGUAGCCGGCCUGAGAGGGUGACCGGCCACAUUGGGACUGAGAUACGGCCCAGACUCCUACGGGAGGCAGCAGUGGGGAAUAUUGCACAAUGGGCGGAAGCCUGAUGCAGCAACGCCGCGUGCGGGAUGACGGCCUUCGGGUUGUAAACCGCUUUCGCCUGUGACGAAGCGUGAGUGACGGUAAUGGGUAAAGAAGCACCGGCUAACUACGUG
rnacentral:rRNA from 1 species